UACAGAGGUCUCGAGCGUUGUUCGGAUUCAUUGGGCGUAAAGGGUGCGUAGGUGGCGCUGUAAGUCGGGUGUGAAAUCCUGAGGCUUAACCUGGGAAUUGCAUUCGAGACUGAAUAGCUAGGGUACGGUAGAGGGAAGUGGAAUUUCCGGUGUAGCGGUGAAAUGCGUAGAUAUCGGAAGGAACAUCAGUGGCGAAAGCGGCUCACUGGUCCGGUACUGACGCUGAGGUGCGAAAGCGUGGGGAGCAAACAGG
rnacentral:rRNA from 1 species